UCUCCGAGCUCACGAACACCUGGAUUUGACAGGGAGCAGCACAGGGAUGGCGAAUUUGGCUGCUCUGCUCUGAUGAUGCCGUCAGAGCACAACUUGCUCGUUUUCAGCAUGAGGAAGAAGAUGAUUUAAAUGUUUUGGAAGGACUAAUCCAGUGAGGAUGGUGGACAAGAAAAUAUAGAAGGAAUGUGUAUGUCAAAACUGAAGAAAAGCAGACCACCUUGGUGGCUCUGUUCUCACAAAGAAGAUUGUUUACUGUUCCACACAAAAUCGGAUUUUUGCCAGCAACUCAUCCACAUUGGUCUCAUCUUUCGUUGACGACGGAGCAUCACGUAGCAGUAUCUCUGCGAAAAUCCAUAGAAGUAUCGGAACCGGCUGUGGAUAUGGGAAAAAGAAAAUCCCUAAAAUGCAUCUCUGAAACAAUGGCAUUUUUUUAGUGAAUGAACUAAGAAUAGCAGUUCAUUUAUAUUCUGUAGGGGGAUAGCAGGUGCCACUGUUCCAGAAUGUACUAAUUCUCUGAAAAUUGAUUUGUUUCUGUAGCAAGUUGUCGUAUGAAUUUCAAAAAGGAACUAUUCUCUGAAAAUUGUUUCAUAUUUCUGUAGCAAUUUAUUGUAUGGAUUCUGAACACUGUUCAAGGAAAUCAGCAGCUGCCAUUGUUCGGAGAAUGAGCUAAUUCUCUGAAAAUCGUUUUGUUUUUCUGUAGCAAGUUAAUGUAUGAAAAAUGAAUUUGUUCAAAGAAAUCAGCAGCUGCCCUUAUUUUACAUCAGUUUACCCCCUCUGAGUAGAAAGGAACAACUCAUUUCUCUCGCUACUCCUAAUUUUGUGUUGUGCUUUUGUGUAGAAGGAGGAAUUGAUUCUCAGACCACAAAAACAACAGAACAACAGGGAUGAUAUUCAGGUUUACAUAUCUCCAUAGAGAAACGGAACCGGUUGUGGAUGUGGGAAAAAGAAAAUCCCUAAAUGCAUCUAUGAAACAAUGGCAUUUUUUCAGUGAAUGAACUAAGACUAGCAGUUCAUUUUUAUUCUGUUGGGGGAAUCUAUUUUGGACGAAAUUCUGAACACUUUUCAAUGAGAUAGCAGCUGCCACUAUCUCAAGAAUGAGGAGAAAUUGAUUCUCAGAUCACAAGAACCACAGAGCAGCAAGGGUGAUAUUCAGGUUGACAUAUCUCCAUAGACAAUCUAACCUGUACAGGGAUGAGUAAGAGAUGAAAAACUUCAAUUGAAAGCACCGCAAAGCCCAAGAAUAGUACAAAUGGGCUCGACAUUGGUUGAACAUAGGGUUCUUGGCCUGAGCAUGCAAGUGUAUGGCCGGGUAAAUAAGUACGUGAUUAAUAUGUUGGAAAAAGCAGUAAUGGUCGAGCAAAAUGAAUAGGAUAGACUCAAUCUUCUCCCACAAAGUUACUGGUCAAGAUACUAUAUCGAAUGUGACAUUGCUGUAAGUACAAACAUAAAUAUGGGCAGACAAUACUCUCUUUUUUCCAUUCAAUGCUCUGUUCUUUUUUG